AUUGAACGCUGGCGGCAGGCCUAACACAUGCAAGUCGAGCGGGAACUUCGGUUCUAGCGGCGGACGGGUGAGUAAUGCGUAGGAAGCUACCCGACAGAGGGGGAUACCAGUAGGAAACGACUGUUAAUACCGCAUAAUGUCUACGGACCAAAGUGUGGGACCUUCGGGCCACAUGCUGUCGGAUGCGCCUACGUGGGAUUAGCUAGUUGGUGAGGUAAUGGCUCACCAAGGCGACGAUCCCUAGCUGGUUUGAGAGGAUGAUCAGCCACACUGGAACUGAAACACGGUCCAGACUCCUACGGGAGGCAGCAGUGGGGAAUAUUGGACAAUGGGCGAAAGCCUGAUCCAGCCAUGCCGCGUGUGUGAAGAAGGCCUUCGGGUUGUAAAGCACUUUCAGUAGGGAGGAAGAGUUGAGUGUUAAUAGUACUCAGCUUUGACGUUACCUACAGAAGAAGCACCGGCUAACUCUGUGCCAGCCGCCGCGGUAAGAC
rnacentral:rRNA from 1 species